rnacentral:rRNA from 1 species
CAGUAGCCGCGGUAAUGCGAGGGGGGCAAGCGUUGUUCGGAAUUAUUGGGCGUAAAGGGUGCGUAGGCGGUUCAGCAAGUCUCGUGUGAAAUCUUCGGGCUCAACCGCAGGCCUGCCUUUGAAACUGUGAGGCUGGAGUACCGGAGAGGUGGACGGAACUGCACGAGUAGAGGUGAAAUUCGUAGAUAUGUGCAGGAAUACCGAUGAUGAAGGUAGUUCACUGGACGGUAACUGACGCUGAAGUGCGAAAGCCGGGGGAGCGAACAGGAUUAGAUACCCCAGUAGUCCCUGUCUCUUAUAC